GACGAACGCUGGCGGCGUGCUUAACACAUGCAAGUCGAACGGAAAGGCCCGGCUUUUGUGGGGUGCUCGAGUGGCGAACGGGUGAGUAACACGUGAGUAACCUGCCCUUGACUUUGGGAUAACUUCAGGAAACUGGGGCUAAUACCGGAUAGGAGCUCCUGCUGCAUGGUGGGGGUUGGAAAGUUUCGGCGGUUGGGGAUGGACUCGCGGCUUAUCAGCUUGUUGGUGGGGUAGUGGCUUACCAAGGCUUUGACGGGUAGCCGGCCUGAGCGGGUGACCGGCCACAUUGGGACUGAGAUACGGCCCAGACUCCUACGGGAGGCAGCAGUGGGGAAUAUUGCACAAUGGGCGGAAGCCUGAUGCAGCAACGCAGCGUGCGGGAUGACGGCCUUCGGGUUGUAAACCGCUUUCGCCUGUGACGAAGCGUGAGUGACGGUAAUGGGUAAAGAAGCACCGGCUAACUACGUG
rnacentral:rRNA from 1 species